rnacentral:rRNA from 1 species
AUUGAACGCUGGCGGCAGGCCUAACACAUGCAAGUCGAACGAGUGGCGGACGGGAGAGUAAUGUAUGGGAAACUGCCUGAUGGAGGGGGAUAACUACUGGAAACGGUAGCUAAUACCGUAUACAAGAGGAUGUGACCAGAUGGGAUUAGCUAGUAGGUUGGGUAAAGGUUCACCUAGGCGAGGAUCCCUAGCUGGUCUGAGAGGAUGACCAGCCACACUGGAACUGAGACACGGUCCAGACUCCUACGGGAGGCAGCAGUGGGGAAUAUUGCACAAUGGGCGCAAGCCUGAUGCAGCCAUGCCGCGUGUGUGAAGAAGGCCUUCGGGUUGUAAAGUACUUUCAGCGGGGAGGCGUUACCCUCAGAAGAAGCACCGGCUAACUCCGUGCCAGCAGCCGCGGUAAUUC